AGUGGAGGAGGAUUCCACACGGAUAAUUGUCGAUCGGUCCGGUAGCUGACGAGCGGCUUGGUUCGGGUAACCGGCCGGGCUGAAGCCUCGUGACAAAGGUCGCCCUGGGCGGCUGAGCGAUCCGGCGGGCCGUAACA
rnacentral:ncRNA from 1 species